rnacentral:rRNA from 1 species
CCCCAGCGCCACGAGGGGUUAUCACGAUUAUUGGGCCUAAAGCGUUCGUAGCCGGUUUGGUACAUCUCUUGUGAAAUUGUUCGGCUUAACCGAACAGCGUGCAGGAGACACGACCAGACUCGAGACCGGGAGGCGCAAGAAGUAUGCCGUGGGGACUGGUAAAAUGGGAUAAUCCACGGUAGACUACCGAUGGCGAAGGCAUCUUGCGAGAACGGAUCUGACGGUGAGGAACGAAAGCUAGGGGAGCGAACAGG